GUAAGCAUAUCAAUAAGCGGAGGACAAGAAACCAACAGGGAUUGCCCCAGUAACGGCGAGUGAAGCGGCAACAGCUCAAAUUUGAAAUCUGGCUCUUUUAGAGUCCGAGUUGUAAUUUGCAGAGGGCGCUUUGGCUUUGGCAGCGGUCCAAGUUCCUUGGAACAGGACGUCACAGAGGGUGAGAAUCCCGUACGUGGUCGCUGGCUAUUGCCGUGUAAAGCCCCUUCGACGAGUCGAGUUGUUUGGGAAUGCAGCUCUAAAUGGGAGGUACAUUUCUUCUAAAGCUAAAUAUUGGCCAGAGACCGAUAGCGCACAAGUAGAGUGAUCGAAAGAUGAAAAGCACUUUGGAAAGAGAGUCAAACAGCACGUGAAAUUGUUGAAAGGGAAGCGCUUGCAGCCAGACUUGCUUGCAGUUGCUCAUCCGGGCUUUUGCCCGGUGCACUCUUCUGCAGGCAGGCCAGCAUCAGUUUGGGCGGUAAGAUAAAGGUCUCUGUCACGUACCUCUCUUCGGGGAGGCCUUAUAGGGGAGACGACAUAUUACCAGCCUGGACUGAGGUCCGCGCAUCUGCUAGGAUGCUGGCGUAAUGGCUGUAAGCGGCCCGUCUUGAAACACGGACCAAGGAGUCUAACAUCUAUGCGAGUGUUUGGGUGUCAAGCCCGAGCGCGUAAUGAAAGUGAACGGAGGUAGGAACCCGCAAGGGUGCACUAUCGACCGAUCCUGAUGUCUUCGGAAGGAUUUGAGUAAGAGCAUGGCUGUUGGGACCCGAAAGAUGGUGAACUAUGCUUGAAUAGGGUGAAGCCAGAGGAAACUCUGGUGGAGGCUCGCAGCGGUUCUGACGUGCAAAUCGAUCGUCAAAUUUGGGCAUAGGGGCGAAAGACUAAUCGAACUAUCUAGUAGCUGGUUCCUGCCGA
rnacentral:rRNA from 1 species